rnacentral:misc_RNA from 1 species
AAUUCUCAAACCACACUUGUUGUGGCUUGGAUAGUUGGGUGUUGCCAGCAUUAAGUGCUAGGCUCACCUUAAAUAUAUGAGUGGUAAUUUUUAGAAACUUGUUAGGUGUUGUAAAUUAUUAAUACCAUCUACAUUUCUGAAAUGUACUGCUUCUAACCCACCCCACCUUUGAUGA